rnacentral:rRNA from 1 species
UGGGGAAUUUUGGACAAUGGGCGCAAGCCUGAUCCAGCCAUACCGCGUGAGUGAAGAGGGCCUUCGGGUUGUAAAGCUCUUUCAGACGGAAAGAAACGGUCGCGGCCAAUACCCGCGACUAAUGACGGUACCGUAAGAAGAAGCACCGGCUAACUACGUGCCAGCAGCCGCGGUAAUACGUAGGGUGCGAGCGUUAAUCGGAAUUACUGGGCGUAAAGCGUGCGCAGGCGGUUUGGUAAGACAGAUGUGAAAUCCCCGGGCUUAACCUGGGAACUGCAUUUGUGACUGCCAGACUAGAGUGUAGCAGAGGGGGGUAGAAUUCCACGUGUAGCAGUGAAAUGCGUAGAUAUGUGGAGGAAUACCGAUGGCGAAGGCAGCCCCCUGGGCUAACACUGACGCUCAUGCACGAAAGCGUGGGGAGCAAACAGGAUUAGAUACCCAAGUAGUCCCUGAGCGGGCUGGCAAGGCGCAU